rnacentral:rRNA from 1 species
GACGAACCGUGCGAACGUUGUUCGGAAUCACUGGGCUUAAAGGGCGCGUAGGCGGACCAUCAAGUCAGGAGUGAAAUCCCCCGGCUCAACCGGGGAAGUGCUUCUGAUACUGGUGGUCUCGAGUGGGGUAGGGGCGUGCGGAACUUCCGGUGGAGCGGUGAAAUGCGUAGAGAUCGGAAGGAACGCCGGUGGCGAAAGCGGCACGCUGGACCCUUUCUGACGCUGAGGCGCGAAAGCCAGGGGAGCAAACGGG